UACGAAGGGGCUAGCGUUGCUCGGAAUCACUGGGCGUAAAGGGUGCGUAGGCGGGUCUUUAAGUCAGGGGUGAAAUCCUGGAGCUCAACGUCCAGAACUGCCUUUGAUACUGAAGAUCUUGAGUUCGGGAGAGGUGAGUGGAACUGCGAGUGUAGAGGUGAAAUUCGUAGAUAUUCGCAAGAACACCAGUGGCGAAGGCGGCUCACUGGCCCGGUACUGACGCUGAGGUGCGAAAGCGUGGGGAGCAAACAGG
rnacentral:rRNA from 1 species